GAUGAACGCUGGCGGCGUGCCUAAUACAUGCAAGUCGAGCGAACGGACGAGAAGCUUGCUUCUCUGAUGUUAGCGGCGGACGGGUGAGUAACACGUGGAUAACCUACCUAUAAGACUGGGAUAACUUCGGGAAACCGGAGCUAAUACCGGAUAAUAUUUUGAACCGCAUGGUUCAAAAGUAAAAGACGGUCUUGCUGUCACUUAUAGAUGGAUCCGCGCUGCAUUAGCUAGUUGGUAAGGUAACGGCUUACCAAGGCAACGAUGCAUAGCCGACCUGAGAGGGUGAUCGGCCACACUGGAACUGAGACACGGUCCAGACUCCUACGGGAGGCAGCAGUAGAGAAUCUGCCGCAAUGGGCGAAAGCCUGACGGAGCAACGCCGCGUGAGUGAUGAAGGUCUUCGGAUCGUAAAACUCUGUUAUUAGGGAAGAACAUAUGUGUAAGUAACUGUGCACAUCUUGACGGUACCUAAUCAGAAAGCCACGGCUAACUACGUG
rnacentral:rRNA from 1 species